AGGUAUCUGAGACGACAGAUUAAUACAGUUUUAUUAAGUUUCAGACAGUAACAGAUGGCUGAAAUAUGCGAAUACCUGUGAAAAUAGAGGAAAAAGUUGUUUCUGACACUGAAAAACGAAUUUAACAUUUAAGUGAGUGAAAUGAGUUCAAAAAGCGAAUACGACUUUCUGCUCUAAUGUAAACGCCUGCAGUUGUCCAUAUCGACAUGUAAAUCAUACAAUUACGUACGAUAUAGUCGGACCGCAGGUCUAAAAGAACCGACGAUCCGGUUCAAAUAAACCGGUUCAGUAAUUCUCGAACAAAGUGAUUCCCGGAAAAGAAUCGGCGUCUCUUCAAAGUGCGCGCACGCACAGCGAGGGCCGCGUUAGUGAGAAAAGCACAUGGAUACAUUUGUGAGAGAAAAACUCGUCAAAUGCAGUCUUAUUGAGGCGUCUAAAGGUCUGAACAAACCUGGAAUUCCUUAACCGAACAGAGUCCACAAAACCCCAUCCAAUUGUUGUGGCGAUUUAAAAAUGCCAGCAGAUCUCUUAGGCAUUAUCAUAAUCAAUGGACAGGUCACCGUAGCCACCAGAUCCAGUCUGUGUCCAGAUCAGAGGGUCACUGCAGUCACCCGUAUCCAGUACGUAUCCAGACCAGAUGGUGGAUCAGCACCUAGAAAGGACCUCUACAUCCCUGAAAGACAGCGGAGACCAGGACAACUAGAGCCCCAGAUACAGAUCCCCUGUAAAUACCUUGUCUCAGAGGACCACCAGGACAAGACCACAGGAAACAGAUGAUUCUUCUGCACAAUCUGACUUUGCUGCAGCCUGGAAUUGAACGACUGGUUUCGUCUGGUCAGAGGAGAACUGGCCCCCUAACUGAGCCUGGUUUCUCCCAAGGUUUUUUUCUCCAUUCUGUCACCGAUGGAGUUUUGGUUCCUUGGUUUUCCUUAGUUUGAAACAAUUAAUAUCAAGCGAUAUCAUCGACUUGAUUGUACAGAGGGACGAUACAUCACUGAAUCAAUGAUGAACUGACUUCAACUGAAAACUGAGUGUUUACUUUUGUCUCUUUGCAUUAUUACACACUAUUUUCCUAUUUAAUACUGUAAAGCUGCUAUGAUGCAGUAUUUGAUUAAUAUGACAGGCUUAUUACUCAUAAUACAUGGAAAAUACAGCUGCAAAUGGACUUUGCUUUUCUAUUUGAAAUUUGGCAGUCACUGUGCAUUCAUGAAUGCAUCAAGUAAUUUUUGUUCAGUGUUUUUGUUCAAGAUUUGCAAUUGUGUUUGGAUUAUGUCACAAUUUGUCACAUGUGGAAAACACAAUUGAAAAUAUAAUUUGCAAUUCCUUUUGAAAAUUGUCCUUCCAUAGACAGGCUCUAUAGCAGACUACACUGCUCUCAGGUGUAGAUCUUUGCUUCAGAGCUUAAGUGUUUGACAAUAGUACACCCAAAAAUGAAAAUUGUUAAUUAUUCACCCUGGUCUGAAAUCUCUCGAAUAUCAUCGAAAAUAUCUUAACUUGUCUUCUGAAGAUGAACGAAGGUCUUACGGGUUUGUAACAACAUGAAGUUGAGUAAUAAAUGACAUAAUUUUCAUUUUUGGGUGAACUAUAUGUUGAACUACACUAAGCAGUGCACAUCUACCUACAUAGGAGUCUUUAUAUACUUGAUAUAAAUUUAAGGACAUCUUUAAAUUUAAAGAAUGUUAAUUGUUAAUGUCAUUUCACUGUGUAUUUAAAUAGCUAAAUAUGUCAAAAUGUAAUAGUUAAACAGCUAGACACAGGUCAUUCAGAAAAAUUUUUAUUAUUUAUUGCAACUGUAAUUCUGUGAUUUUUAUUUUAAUUAUUUAUUUUGCAUUUGCUGGAAACAAAAAAAGGGAAAAUUCCAUGUUGUUUGUCAUUGGUACAAGUUUUUGAAUGUCAGAUGGCAUUAAAAAUAUUUUUAACAGUCUAAAUAACCUGUAUUCUUCAUUAUUUAUUAAUCCAUGAUUGCUUUGUUAAGUAAAAGUGAAAUUAUGAGAAUAACCCAGCAAGAAUAACCCAGAAUAAUAAAAAUGCAAACCCACAAAUGGUAAAAAUGACUCUAUCUUGGGUUUUCUCAAUAACCCAGCAUGCUGGGUUAAAAUGUGUAAACCAGCAUGCUGGGUUACUUUAACCCAGCACGUGUUCUGUCCAAUAUUUACCCAGUGCUGGGUUGCCAAUUGGGUUAUUUUUAACCCAGCCAUUUUUAGAGUGU